rnacentral:lncRNA from 1 species
GUCCACCGUGUGCUGUAACAACGUCAUCUCCACUUUGGACAAGGCUUAUAUUGCAGGAAAUUUAGGAUAUCAACUUAAAAUUGGAUAUUAGACAUCAUUAUUUCUGUGAGGCUUCUUACUAUACCAAAUUUCUUGUGGGACAUCUUAUUUUAUAGGCUCUAAACACUUUAAAAAUUGCCCUUUCCAAUCUGCUGCUUCGUCCCUUAACUUUCACACCUCAUGUUUCUCCCUCUUUGUGGUACCCUCCACUGGGGCUUUCUUAUGAAGUUAAAUGCCCUGAUAAUAUCAGCCAGAACAGUCUCACUUCCUCUAACUAGACUCUGGAUGGGCACUUGCAUACUCUCCACUGUAUUUACGUUCUUGCUGAAGACACGGUCAUCCACUCCUGGUGUCACCCAGACACAUCAGAGAACUAGCGAAGGUUUUGAAAAGGUUUGAACUAAGAAUGAGCCCCAGACUGAGAUGACUUCUAAAAGAGAAACGAAGACCAAGAAAGGCUACGGUUGGGCAUGGAGGAUGCAGGAAACAGGAAGGGAAAUAGGAUAGCACAUUUUAUCUGAGAAAUGGGGAACUAGUGUGCUUUCUGGAUCUUUGCAGCGUUGGUGUCCUGAUGAAAGCCUGAGAUGUCCUAACAGGAUCCCUGUACUGUCUAUCCAGCCCUGAUCCGGAAAUCUAAUAUCCGGGUACUAUCACCGUGGUGCUCAGGAGAGGUGUUCCACAAAUAUUUAACAUGUUCUUUUCAGUCCUGUACAGGAUUGUAUGUGAUUUUAUUAACUUAGAGUUGGUUGUGGUUAUACCCAUUGAUUCUAGUCCAUGAAAUGCUAGAGGAGAAAAUGUGUCUUUUCUGGGUAAAAUAUUUAAGAGCCACUGUGCAAUUUAUCCUUUAUCUCUUCUCUUUUCCUUCCUCUCAGACAGUGUUUGCUCCUUCAGCCUGCAUCCCAGAGACAGAACACAUGGAGCAAACCCUGUAGACAAUAUGUACAGGACAUGCAGUGUGAGAUUACAUACAUACAUACAUAUGUACAUACUUAUAAUGAGAUGCCCAGACUUGGGAAUUGUUAGCAUACCCUACAUAACACAUCCUACCUGAUGUACAGCCAAUAUAGCGAGGGAGCUAUUUCAGAAUAAAUUUUCUCAGAACAAUGUUUAUUGUUUAAGUUCCCCAACCCCAACGAAAUAAAAUUACCUAUCCCCCUGGAGAGGCAGCCUUUCUCCAGCUAGGAAGGUUUUUUAAGAUGUGCUGAAACUUUCAGUCUGUGAAAUGACACCCCUGAAUGAAUCAACAUACUCAUUAUACUACCUGUGAUUAUUUCUGGUUAUCUGAAUAAUGGACAGCUUUCUCUUUGAACCAGUUUGCAUUUUUCUAGUUAUUUUAUAACUAAUAUUCAUUAUAUGUAAUUAAAAAUUAUUUUUUUUAAAAAACUGGACCAGGCAAGCCCAUAAUUUUCAGUAGACACUAUCCAUGCAACACGUCACAUUUCGUCUCUGUGUUCAAAUCUGAGGAAAGACAAGUUAAAAACAGUUAUCAAAGCUGGCUACUGUGAAUAACCUCUUCUGCUGCCUUGUCAAGUGAAGCAUUUUUAGACAGUUCAGACACACACACUGUGCACCAUUCACUUGCUCUCUGUCAGAGUCUUCUGUGUCCUAUAAUUUUAAACUCUAAAAAUACUCAGUGGUGAAAUAUUGAUUUCCUCCCUAACUCCUGCUCAGCCUUUAGUUGGAUGCUGGUGAGGAUUCCACUCAGAGAAGAUCAGUACUUGACCCUGCACUUUGUUCUUUAGUGAAGAAACAUAUUGCAUCUUCAUACUCUCAUCUCAGCCCAUCUCUGUCUCUUUCUCAGCGUUCAUGGUGUUACAGCACAUCCAAAGGAGAAUUAUUAUUUUACUUUCAACCCAGCCAAGGAUAAAGUGUCCAAGGUGUGUUUUCUAAGAAGGCAAACACCUAUUAACAAUAAGGUAGUAGGUUAUUUGUAUAUAUAUUUGUAAGUAAAUUGCCAUGGAGUAAACUCAGCAAUGUUUAUAAAAUUGGAUAUCAUAAUAUAAUGUUUAUAUUAUAAUAUUUAUAACAUAAAUAUUAUCUGUACAUAGUAUUACUUAUUAGUUGUAAUGAGAAAUUAAAUUAUAAUCUCUCUGAAA